GGUAGUUGAAUGUUUUGUUUA
rnacentral:miRNA from 1 species